rnacentral:rRNA from 1 species
GUCUACGGCCAUGUCACCUGAACGUGCCCGAUCUCGUCUAACCUUGGAAGCUCAGCAGGGUCGGGCCUGGUUAGUACUUGGAUGGGAGAAUACAGUACUAGCAAGCACUGAGCGACA